rnacentral:rRNA from 1 species
CCUACGGGGGGCAGCAGUGGGGAAUAUUGCACAAUGGGCGAAAGCCUGAUGCAGCCAUGCCGCGUGUGUGAAGAAGGCCUUCGGGUUGUAAAGCACUUUCAGUAAGGAGGAAAGGGUAGUCGUUAAUAGCGGCUAUCUGUGACGUUACUUACAGAAGAAGCACCGGCUAACUUCGUGCCAGCAGCCGCGGUAAUACGAGGGGUGCAAGCGUUAAUCGGAAUUACUGGGCGUAAAGCGUUCGUAGGCGGUUGAAUAAGCAAGAUGUGAAAGCCCAGGGCUCAACCUUGGAACUGCAUUUUGAACUGUUCAACUAGAGUACUGUAGAGGGUGGUGGAAUUUCCAGUGUAGCGGUGAAAUGCGUAGAGAUUGGAAGGAACAUCAGUGGCGAAGGCGGCCACCUGGACAGAUACUGACGCUGAGGAACGAAAGCGUGGGGAGCGAACAGGAUUAGAUACCCUGGUAGUCCACGCCGUAAACGAUGUCAACUAGCCGUUUGUGUCCUAGAGACGUGAGUGGCGCAGCUAACGCACUAAGUUGACCGCCUGGGGAGUACGGCCGCAAGGUUAAAACUCAAAUGAAUUGACGGGGGCCCGCACAAGCGGUGGAGCAUGUGGUUUAAUUCGAUGCAACGCGAAGAACCUUACCAUCCCUUGACAUCCAGAGAAUUUUCUAGAGAUAGAUUAGUGCCUUCGGGAACUCUGAGACAGGUGCUGCAUGGCUGUCGUCAGCUCGUGUUGUGAAAUGUUGGGUUAAGUCUCGCAACGAGCGCAACCCCUAUCCUUAUUUGCCAGCGCGUAGUGGCGGGAACUUUAAGGAGACUGCCGGUGAUAAACCGGAGGAAGGUGGGGACGACGUCAAGUCAUCAUGGCCCUUACGGGAUGGGCUACACACGUGCUACAAUGGCGUAUACAGAGUGCAGCGAGACCGCGAGGUGGAGCGAAUCACACAAAGUACGUCGUAGUCCGGAUUGGAGUCUGCAACUCGACUCCAUGAAGUCGGAAUCGCUAGUAAUCGUAGAUCAGAAUGCUACGGUGAAUACGUUCCCGGGCCUUGUACACACCGCCCGUC